rnacentral:lncRNA from 1 species
CCCUUCUAACAGAUUUCCGUUUAAGUUGAAAUUAGUCAACUGGCAUCCCUCUGCAAAUGUUGGAGGAAUCGUCCCAUAAAACUUGUUCUUCUUCAGAUUCAAGAUUUCAAGGCUGUUGCUCAAAUUUCCAAAACAUUGCGGAAUUGUUCCACUCAAGUUAUUGUGGGACAAAUCAAGAAUUCCAAGACAUUGCGGAAUUGUUCCACUCAAGUUAUUGUGGGACAAAUCAAGAAUUCCAAGAGAAGUGACAUUGCAGAUUAAAGAAGAGACCUCUCCAUUGAAACUAUUAUUUGAGAUUAGAAAGACAUUGAUGGUCGAAGCUGGAAUCGGA